rnacentral:rRNA from 1 species
GUCUCUUUGUAGUUUAUAGAUAAAGAGUCGGGCCUGCUCGGUGAAUAAUUGUUUUAACAGCUGCGGUAUUUUAACUGUACUAAGGUAGCAUAAUAAUUUGCCUUAUAAUUUGAGGCUAGAAUGAAUGGUUUGACGAAGGUUGAUCUGUCUCUAUCUUAUUUUUUAGAAAUUAAUUUUUAGAGUGAAAAAGCUUGUAUUUUUUAAAGGGACGAGAAGACCCUAUUGAGCUUAUAAUUUUAUUGUUGUUAUGGUUAGAAUAAACUAUAAUAACAUAUAAAUUUUAAUUGGGGUGAUUAAGGAAUAAAUAAUAAAUAAAGUAACUUCCUUAGAUUUAAAUAUUGUUGGGUGAAGUAACCAAUAUUAUUGCUUAUAGAAUAGUUACCAUAGGGAUAACAGCGUAAUUUGUUUAGAGAGUUCUUAUUGAAAAAUGAGAUUGCGACCUCGAUGUUGGAUUAAAGUAACCUUAAGGUGCAGAAGCUUUAAUAGGUAAAUCUGUUCGAUUUUUAAAACUUUACA